UACGUAGGGUGCGAGCGUUGUCCGGAAUUAUUGGGCGUAAAGAGCUCGUAGGUGGUCUGUCACGUCGGAUGUGAAAACUCGGGGCUCAACCCCGAGCCUGCAUUCGAUACGGGCAGACUAGAGUUCGGUAGGGGAGACUGGAAUUCCUGGUGUAGCGGUGAAAUGCGCAGAUAUCGGGAGGAACACCGGUGGCGAAGGCGGUUCUCUGGGCCUGACCUGACGCUGAGGAGCGAAAGCGUGGGGAGCGAACAGG
rnacentral:rRNA from 1 species